GCAGCCCGGUUUUUGGCAUGAAAGUGCGGGUCAUGCAAGGACAUCCCAGAAUAGGAAAAACAGCCCGGGCAGAGCCUGCAGCAAAGCACUAAGAGUGGCAGGGAUCCAGCUGAAAUCACUACUAGUACACUGGCCACUGGAGAGUCAUUGAAUGCACACGUCUCAGGGAGGAAAUGAAUUCAUGACGAGUGAAAACAAGUCCAAAGCAUCUUCCGACGUCUCCACAGCAGAAGCAGAAAAUGUCAAGCUGCCAAAUACCACUGUCACAGAUGAAAAGGAGCUCAAAAAGACAAACAGGCAGUCUUAUAAACACUAACUGCUGGAGAAAAUCAUUUUUGACUGCUUUCAAGAGCCUGGCAGGAUAGGGUAAGAAACCCAGACUCAACUGAUCCUCCUGAAGUACUGUUGCUGCAUGGGCCUAUCAACCAAAGAAGGAGGGUGCCCACCCAAUGACCCCAGUGAAGUGUUUACACCUACCCUUACUCAAGCAAUGAUUGACGAUUACAAUAUGGGAUUGUAAAACCAAGACAUGAGCUCAACUGUAACACCAUCUGGCACGUGAGGACAAUACCGAUGUUGUCUGGUUUAUCACUUGCAUUUCUUUUUGAAAAUGUAUAUUCUGACUGGUCUCCUCAAUUGGUCCUUGGUUGAGGGUUAGGUGAGGGUUAUCCACUGCCUGCAGAAUGCACAUUCACCAAAUAAACAAAAUGAGAUGACAUAAACACAUUGAAUAUAUGUACGGGGAAUAUUAUACAGAAUAUCUGCACACAGUAAUUUCAUCAGUUGUAGUGAGAAAUUUGAAACUGCAAGAGACAAGUUCAAAGGUCAAGAUAAAGUCAGCAAAGACUGUCAGAUGACUGUCACAAGACACUGCUAGGAUGUUUCACUCAGUUUCUGCAAACUAUAGACAUUUGAAAAUCUGGAAACAGCAAA